rnacentral:rRNA from 1 species
UAGGGAGCAAGCGUUAUCCGGAUUUACUGGGUGUAAAGGGCGCGGAGGCGGGAUGGCAAGUCAGAUGUGAAAUCUAUGGGCUUAACCCAUAAACUGCAUUUGAAACUGUCGUUCUUGAGUACUGGAGAGGUUGACGGAAUUCCUAGUGUAGCGGUGAAAUGCGUAGAUAUUAGGAGAAACACCAGUGGCGAGGGCGGUCAACUGGACAGCAACUGACGCUGAGGCGCGAAAGCGUGGGGAGCAAA